rnacentral:rRNA from 1 species
AUUGAACGCUGGCGGCAGGCCUAACACAUGCAAGUCGAACGAGUGGCGGACGGGUGAGUAAUGUCUGGGAAACUGCCUGAUGGAGGGGGAUAACUACUGGAAACGGUAGCUAAUACCGCAUACCAUCGGAUGUGCCCAGAUGGGAUUAGCUAGUAUGUGGGGUAACGGCUCACCUAGGCGACGAUCCCUAGCUGGUCUGAGCGGAUGACCAGCCACACUGGAACUGAGACACGGUCCAGACUCGUACGGGAGGCAGCAGUGGGGAAUAUUGCACAAUGGGGGCAAGCCGGAGGCAGUCAUGCCGCGUGUAUGAAGAAGGCCUUCGGGUUGUAAAGUACUUUCAGCGGGGGGGCGUUACCCGCAGAAGAAGCACCGGCUAACGCAGUGCCAGCAGCCGCGGUAAUAC